GAUGAACGCUGGCGGCGUGCCUAAUACAUGCAAGUCGAGCGAACAGACGAGGCGCUUGCUCCUCUGACGUGAGCGGCGCACGGGUGUAUAACACGUGGAUACCCUCCCUAUAAGACUGGGAUAACUUCGGGAAACCGGAGCUAAUACCGGAUAAUAUCUUGAACCGCAUGGUUCAAUAGUGAAAGACGGUUUUGCUGUCACUUAUAGAUGGAUCCCGGCCGCAUUAGCUGGUUGGUACGUUCACGGCUUACCAAGGCGACGAUGCGUGACCGAACGGAGAGGGUGAUAGGCCACCUGGGAACGUGGACGCGGACAAGACGCCUACGGGAGGCAGCAGUAGGGAAUCUGACGCAAUGGUCGAAAGCAUUACGGAGCAACGCCGAGUGAGUUAUGAAGGUGCUCGGAGCGUAAUACUCUGUUAUUAGGGAAGAACAAAUGUGUAAGUAACUAUGCACGUCGUGACGGUACUUAAUCAGAAAGCCACGGCUAACUACGUG
rnacentral:rRNA from 1 species